rnacentral:rRNA from 1 species
AUGGGUGAUAUUUGCCGUGCCAUUGAAGAUAAAAUUCAGCCUUUCUGUGAUUGCAGUAUGACUGUUCUUUUCAAGGAUCUUGCAAGUUCAAUGCUUCACCGGUCUGUCAGACCUCCAAUUUUCUCAUGCUUUGGAGACAUUGCUCUUGCUAUUGGCGAGAAUGUCGAGAAAUACCUGCAAUAUGCCAUGCCAGUGCUUCAAGGAGCUGCUGAGCUUGUUGUUUUGGAUCAAAGCAACGAAGAUACGAUUGUUCACCAUAACCAGCUGAGACAUGGAAUAUUUGAGGCUUACUCCGGCAUACUGCAUGGUAUGAAGGAAAAGCUCAGCUGA